UUCAAGUUCACUUCAGACUUCUUAAAUGUACAAUCCCAAAUCAGAAAGUUGGGACAGUAUGGAAAUGCAAAUAAGGAAUGCAGUUUCUUACAUUUGCUUUUACUUUUAUUUCAUUGCAGACAGUACACUCUAAGAAGUAAUGUGUCAUUUUUUCUACACAGCUACUGUGUCCUGCGGUCUGUAACACGUUUUGUGUCAUUUCUGGCCCCUUUUUACACAGACAGACACGUGUAAAGUAACUCCAAUAGUUAGUCUACACAUUUAUGUGUAGAACUGUGAGAAAAUACAUUGUUUAAAAAUAUAUAUUUAUUCAAUUUUACUUAAAUUUGUUGGAUAAAAUAAUGGCAUUCAUGACUAAAAACAUAGAUUAUUUCACAUGUAAGAUUUAAAAUGAAUUAAUAAAUAAAAAUAUGCGUUAACCAAUCACAUUUCUCCUAUCAAGUACAUCUGUGUUUCACGGUCGAUUCCCUCUUUCUGGACCAUGCAAGGAAAGGAGCAGCAGGAUCCGUCCUUAUAACCUUACUGGGCAGAGAAACGGACGUUUUACGAGUUUUUGCAACCAUCUUUAAGAAUGGAAAAGAAAGUUCAAGGAAUAUAUAUUUUGUACAUUUACUGUUAAACUGUUUGUAAUCUUGUUUUAAUGUAUUGUCACAAAAAAGAAUGUUAUUUAAACAUUUGUAAUAUAUUAUACAGUAAAAUAAAAUGG